UUUGGUUCUAAGUGGGGCUGGCUUGAACGCCACACACACUAGAGCUUCCCCACUACCUUGGCAAUUAACGUUUCUCGCUUCGCUUUAAAAAUGGUCCAAAGAAAUAGGGGUUGAUGUUGAGCGUGGGCCCCAGAAAGGUGGCUGGGCUUGGGGCACCACCAGACACGAGGGCCUCCCCGGCCCACCUGGUGCCCCGACGGCCAGGCAGUGGCCUGCCACACUCAUUACCCUAAGGUGGGAGUCGGCGGGGCGGGGCGGGGCGGGCCACGCGACGCGUUACACAAGGGGCGCCACGUGAACGCACGGCCACGCCACCGGCCCCGGGGACCGCGGCACCCACCUCGCCGACCUCGGAGCCCUCCAGCCCGGCCGGCCGCCUGAGCUGGCCCUCCCCCUCCGCGGUAUGACCUUGAGCCUCCUCCAUCACCGCGCCUCGCCUCCGCCCCCCCCCCCGGCUAUUCCCAGGGAGGCUGGAAGUCCAAGCCGAUGGCCCUUCUCAGAGACGGGGAAACUAAGGCCCAGGCCCCGGAAGCGGGAGGCCCAAGGUCACCCGCGCACCAGGCAGCACGCCGGGCCGGGCCUCUCGGCAGCCCCGGGAUCGUCCCGCCCCACGCCCGCAGGCUCCGCCGGGGAAGCGGCCUCACCUCCAGCACCACGCGGCCAAGCGGCUGCCCGUCGGCGCCCACGUCCAGGCUCGGCUACGGUCUCACCAGCGAUGUCAAAAGGAGGGAGAGCCCCCAGCUGAGCCAUGCUGAGCCAUGCUGAGCCACGCCCAGCCCUUGAGGAUGCCAGGCCCAGGUGAGAUCACACAGGUGAUGCACUCACCUGGCUCCCAGGUAUUCAUAGACCACGUCAUCCUUCUCCCCACCAGCCCAAGUGGCUUCUCAUCCAGGAUGCUGAUGGUGGCUGUCACCGGAGCCUGUCAUAGCACCUUUAGGCCUCAGCCAAAGAACAGUCAGUCUCUGCAGGCUCAGAAGCACUGAGGAAAUUGCAAGCUCAAGUACCUGUGGGAUGGAGCAGGUGACAUAAGCAGGUGAAGACACCAGGAGUGAAGGAGCGAGAGGCACCCUGCUGGAGAAACAGCCAGUUGUCGUAGGUGGGACUGUGGGUCCAGCAUACAGGUCUCCGCAUUCUCAAUAAAGGCUGAAAACUUUAAAUUUCA